UCUGCCUGGAGUCUUGCAGACGGCUCGCAGACUACAGAGAGGAGGCCAGCGCUUACGUUUGAAUUUGGAGAGGGGGGAAAAUCACCAGUGAGGGAAAGAUGUCAUCCUGACCAAGGCCUGGGCACCCUGAGAAGGAAGCGAGAAUGCUUCAGGCAGAGGGGGCUAUAAGACCCAAACACAGGUGCAGUUACAUCGAGCUGCAUGGAAACACAGAACAAUGUUAAAUUGGCUAGCCUCAUUGGUCUUUCCUUGGUAGACAGGGAAGGAACCUGAACAAGCAGCAACAAUGAAUAUUGGGUGAGCUCUCUCAGUUCAGUUUUGAAUAAGAUUAGAUAAAACCAUUUCCCCCUAAAUCAGAUAAAAAGUUAUUUCCUGGGCCAAAAUCCAGAUCUUAUGGUUAUCAAUCCUGGUUAGAUGCAAUUUAACCACAGUGGUUUUACCUCAACUGCCUAAGAAAAUCUGCAUUCUCACAACCAGUUUCACAGGGCUCAGCAAUCUUGGUUAACUCUUUAACUAGAAUUGUGAGAAUGCAGCCAUAUUUAAGCUUCUCUUAUACACCGCCUUUCAAAGAAAUCAUCAAAGCAGUCAACAAAAAAAAUCUCAGGGAAACUUUGAAGGCACAAAUGCUGAAGCAAAGCAGGUCUGGGUCAGGUGACCAAUACCUGGAUGGGAGACCACCUAAGAGCACUAUUUUGCAAAAGGCAGAAAAUGAAACAAAACAAUAAAAUUUGAUAGAGCCUUCAGGGAUCUAGAAUUGCUCCACUGCCUAGAUGCUGGAUAUCCCUGAAGUAAAUAUGUGUUACAAUAAGUGUUACAAUAAGUAUACUGUAUAUGCGACACUCAGCUUCUCCUUAUUUUUACACAAGGAAAUUUUUAAAAAGCUUUGAAUUGAUCUCACAGAGCCGAUAAGAUUUUUCUAAAAUGCACUGUAUUACACAAAUUUUGCAGG